rnacentral:lncRNA from 1 species
UUCUGGCAAUCACAGUAAGAAAAAUUCUUUGUAUCAAAGUAUUCUGAAAUAUCACAAUCGUGAAGACAGAGAAGAAUAUAGCUAAUCUAUCUUCCACAGUGGAUGACAAUAACAAAGGAUAUCAUCCAGGGAAUUGUUUUGUGCUUAUCAAAGGAGGUUUCUGUUUUUUCUACACCCAUGUAUGCUUUGUGCAAAGCAUAGUGCCAGUGCAUCUCUUGGACACUACUCACCAGACUGCCUCCUACUCCUAAAAUGAUGAAGUCCUUGUUCUCAAGGGACUUGGAUUCUAUCAAGAACAUUGACAAUAAAUCAACAAAUACAUAAUAUUUUUGAGUGGCGAUAAGAACCAUGAAGAAAAAUAAAGCAGGGUAAGAGGAAUAAAAAUGAACUAGCAUUGGAUAAGAGGGUUUUUUUAAUAGGGAAGUGUAACCCCUUUGCUGGCUAGAUGAUAUUUAGG